GACGAACGCUGGCGGCGUGCUUAACACAUGCAAGUCGAACGGUAAGGCCCUUCGGGGUACACGAGUGGCGAACGGGUGAGUAACACGUGGGUGAUCUGCCCUGCACUUCGGGAUAAGCCUGGGAAACUGGGUCUAAUACCGGAUAGGACCACUGCCUGCAUGGGUGGUGGUGGAAAGCUUUUGCGGUGUGGGAUGGGCCCGCGGCCUAUCAGCUUGUUGGUGGGGUGAUGGCCUACCAAGGCGACGACGGGUAGCCGGCCUGAGAGGGUGAUCGGCCACGCUGGGACUGAGAGACGGCCCAGACUCCUACGGGAGGCAGCAGUGGGGAAUAUUGCACAAUGGGCGCAAGCCUGAUGCAGCGACGCCGCGUGAGGGAUGACGGCCUUCGGGUUGUAAACCUCUUUCAGCACCGACGAAGCGCAAGUGACGGUAGGUGCAGAAGAAGGACCGGCCAACUACGUGCCAGCAGCCGCCGUAA
rnacentral:rRNA from 1 species